GGUAACGUUGCCUCUGGCACCCAUCAUAUCCCCUGAAUUCAGCAUCAGGACUGAUCUGCCAUCAGCUCUGGCAGGGAGAGUCCCUUACAAGUGCCAAGAAAAGGAACAUGAACAAUAUUCUGUGACCACAGCCAACACCACACAGAACUUCCCAGAAGCUCUCCAGGGCGAGAACACCAACCAGAAGGAAGUGACAGCUUCCAUCAUUCUGUGCUAAGUGAGCUGAGUGAGUGGCCAUCUCUCACCUUCCAGAUAUUUGAAUGAUACCUACCAUUCCAGCAGCCAGCACAAGUCAUUUAAUAUGAAUGCCAGAAACACAAUCCCUGAGGACAGGUACAGGAGACCAGAUGCCAGGAAAAACCCCGGCCCCACCCAAGAGUUGGGGAGAGCCCACUGCUCCUCCACCCUUAUUUACCACCUGAGCCCCUGCACCCGCCAAUCAUGCUGCUCAGUCUGUAACUGCGGGUCUGAGUGAGCACCUACAUUUGGCUGUUGAGGGGCAGCUGGUGGAGUUGGCAGGCGACUCUGCACUAAGUUCUCAGGUUGAAUGGGAGUUGGGUCGAGGGAAGGAAUGGACGCAGAGUUAGGGUGAAGAGUUGCGGUGGGUCAGCGGGGGUGAAAGGACAUGGAGAUGUCAUUUUUAACAAGAUUGGGUGAGGGUGGUAGGAAAGGAGGCAGCAAGAGUUCGGGACAGUUUGGCAAAGACUUAGGGAUGGGGUGUCCUCAGUACGGCAGGAGACGCAAAGGAAGGUAUACAGUGGGCUAGGAGACUAAGGACGAGAAGACACAGUUACGACUUGGAAUAAGGCUGAGAUCGGAGUUAUCCAGAAGAAAGCGGUGCCAGAAGCCCAGGAAGCACACAUCAAGGCUCGCUUGCCAGCGGGGUGCUGCCAAUAAAAUGUAGUCACGUGGAAUUUGGGAUGUGGAAAGGAGGUAGAAGUCAUCCUUUCCUCCCCCAUAGCAGCAGGUGUGCAGGCUCUGGUGGUCAGCUGGACUCCAUACUCCCCCACCAGUCACCAGCCUGGGGACCGUGGGGCUGCAAGGACCUCAGCAGCAGUUUCCCAAGUUUCCUGACUUCUUCCAUCCUCUGGAAAUCAGCUGUGAGCUAUCAGCUUCCCAGUUUGCACAAUUCAUCAAGAAAUUAUGCGGGGUCACUGGCACAAAUGAUGAGGCAUCUCCUGGAAGCUUAACUUCUUAUCCAUCCCAUCUCUUGGACAGAUGAUGCCAGUUAAUUACUUUGAAUGCUCCUCCACCAAGCCAAGGCCAGACUCCUGCAAUCAUAGGAUGGCAACACCACCUCUAAAGCACAGAACUUCAGCCUUUGCUUCGGAAGUGGCACCAUGGUCUCUUCAUUUUCCCUUUCUUCAAGGUCAGAAAACUGAAGCUGUUAGGAGUUUUAGUGUUAAGUUCCUUCCGAGGAUGUUAAUUAGGCUUCAAACUGUUUUGUUCUGAGAAAUAAAAACUAAACUCCAGUCAUUCAAGCUAA
rnacentral:lncRNA from 1 species